AACAAACGCUGGCGGCGUGCCUAACACAUGCAAGUCGUACGAGAAAGUCCGCUUCGGUGGAUAAGUAAAGUGGCGCACGGGUGAGUAACGCGUGGAUAAUCUACCCUUUAGUCUGGAAUAACUUAUCGAAAGGUGAACUAAUACCGGACAAUACUGCAUGAGUAAUGUCGUGUAGUCAAAGAAAGCCUCUGCUUGCAAGCUUUCGCUGAAGGAUGAGUCCGCGUACCAUUAGCUAGUUGGUAGGGUAAUGGCCUACCAAGGUUAUGAUGGUUAGCUGGUCUGAGAGGAUGAUCAGCCACACUGGAACUGAGACACGGUCCAGACUCCUACGGGAGGCAGCAGUGAGGAAUAUUGCGCAAUGGGGGCAACCCUGACGCAGCAACGCCGCGUGAGUGAGGAAGGUUUUCGGAUUGUAAAGCUCUGUCGAGCGGAAAGAAAUGCAUUAUGGCUAAUAUCCAUAGUGCUUGACGGUACCGCUAAAGGAAGCACCGGCUAACUCCGUGCCAGCAGCCGCCGUAACAC
rnacentral:rRNA from 1 species